GAUGAAGAACGCAGCGAAAUGCGAUAAGUAAUGUGAAUUGCAGAAUUCAGUGAAUCAUCGAAUCUUUGAACGCACAUUGCGCCCCUUGAUAUUCCGGGGGGCAUGCCUGUUCGAGCGUCAUUAUAACCCUCAAGCCUAGCUUGGUGUUGGAGCAUGCUACCUAAGCAGCUCUUAAAAUCAGUGGCAGUGCCCUUCGGCUCUAAGCGUAGUAACUUCUCUCGCUAUGGAACCCGGAGGGUACGCGCCAGAACCCCCAACUUUCUAUGGUUGACCUCGGAUCAGGUAGGGAUACCCGCUGAACUUAAGCAUAUCAAUAAGCGGAGGA
rnacentral:misc_RNA from 1 species